CGAGCUCAGACUGGCGCUGUCGAAGUGGACCUGGAAAGGCCCGUCAGAGAGGGUGAGAGCCCCGUGUGCGACACCGCCGGGCUGGGCCGAAGCUGUCUUCGGAGAGUCGGGUUGUUCGGGAAUGCAGCCCAAAGUGGGUGGUAAACUCCAUCUAAAGCUAAAUAUUGGCACGAGACCGAUAGCGAACAAGUACCGUGAGGGAAAGGUGAAAAGUACUUUGAAAAGAGAGUCAAAAAGACCGCGAAACCGUUAGGAGGGAAACGAAUGCAGCUGAAGUGGCUCCCCGUCAGGCUCAGGAUGCGUCGGUGGGUUCUGCUUCUCCGUUGGGAGCCGUGAGGCCCCUCGGAAGAGCGAGCCGCCGACAACUCUGCACUUCUGCGGGGAGCCGGCCAACAGCAGUUGUUCCUGGCUCAGAAGGACCCUCGGGAAGGUAGCCCCACGCCUGGCGCGGGGAACUUAUAGCCUUGGGCCUGGUCCAGUCUGGGAGCGACUGAGGAGAGAGUUGCGAUUCUUCGCACGAGCAGCGUGGGCCUUCGGGCUGGCUCGCUCUUGUCCGGUCGGCGGUCGGCGUCGUCACUGCGUGCAGUGGCUUCCGCAGACUCUGCAGUCCGAACUCGAUGCCGAGCACACCUCGCGCUGCGGUUGUUGGUGCCCAAAUGGCUGCAUCCGA
rnacentral:rRNA from 1 species